UACGUAGGAGGCGAGCGUUGUCCGGAAUUACUGGGCGUAAAGAGCGCGUAGGCGGCCCGGCGCGUAGGUGGUGAAAGCCCCCCGGCUUACCUGGGGGAGGUCUGCCUAAACGGUCGGGCUCGGAGGGCGGUAGGGGCUGGCGGAAUGCCCGGAGUAACGGUGAAAUGUGUAGAGAUCGGGCAGAACACCGGUGGCGAAGGCGGUCAGCUGGGCCGCACCUGACGCUGAGGCGCGAAAGCCAGGGGAGCGAACGGA
rnacentral:rRNA from 1 species